rnacentral:misc_RNA from 1 species
UUGUUAUUUCUAUUUUGAGAAAAUGAGGUUUUUCGUAGUGUUUUCUGUGUUGUCGCUGGUUAUAGUAGUUUUUGACACUUCGUACUGUGCAAAUAAAAAAUAUUGCUGUAAACGUGGAAAGACAAGAAGAAUAAAAUGCAAGACUGGCGAUUUGUACAAAGCUGACAAAACUCUGGCAAGAGUUCUAUCCAGCGAAGAAGGCNAGUUGAUCUGCCUAUAUCACCGGGACGAAGCAAAAAUGAUGGAUAAUCGGUGCUCGUUUCCGGCAUCUUCAUGUCACACUAAGUCCUUGGUUACGAUACCCGAACGUCUUUAUCUCUCGCUGGACUGGGUUGGACAGCAAAAAAAAGAAUACAGGCCUGGAACAAAAUGGUGUACCAGCUGCAGAAAGAAUGGCGAAAAGCAUUUAAAACAAAACGUUCCUUCUCUAUACGUGCCACCCAAAAGAAGAAAGGUUAUAACACCUGUCUAAAAAAAAUAUUUAUUUAUUUUGUACUCGGUAUUUACACACACCAUUUAUCUGGGUUUUGGCUGUUUGACUCUAGCAACAACUUCAGUUCAUGCCAAUAAACUUGUUCUCCAAGAACACAGCUGUCCAAGAUUUGCAGUGUGUCAACAUUCCCCUUGUUGCUGUUAUGUGAGGCAAUUGAGAAAGGUAAAGAGUCUACAUGUACUAAUUCAGCAACUCUAACAAAACAAGUAAAGACAAUAGAAUGUCACCUAAGUACCGUAUUUCACCGNCUAAACAUGCUAUGUGGUCAGUCAACUAUUGAAACUCCUUAUGGAAAUGUUCAAUGUUUGACAAAUGGAGUCAUANAAGUGGAUGGAGACAUCUGGGGGAAAAUGGCAAGUGUGCUGAAUAAACUAGAUCAGUUAGAAGGCAUGAAGUUUGAAAAUCAAAUUGCCAAUUUUCAAACUGCUCUAUACAACCACUAUGCAAACAUGGGUCCUGACAUUUAUAACCCAAGUUUAAUGAGAGAAUUUGCAGAUAAAACUUCCACUGGUCUUUUUGAUAAAAUACUUAACGCAAUAUCAAGAGAUGACAACAGAGUACAAAGUAAAAGAAAAGAUAUUCUUGAACAAAGGACAGUUGCUUUGCUUCAUAGUCUUGCAUACUUCAGGUCUCAGAAAACUUCUAUCUAGCUAAUCAUGGAUUAUCCAGGGUAGGCCAGUCAGCAGGACAUAUCAUUGGUGACUCUGUACACAGAAGAUCCAUAGACUUUGAAAGAGAGAAGAUGGUCAAAGGUCAUAGUUCAUUAUCACAAUCACAAAUAAAAACUGCAAUUGAUAAAUCAUAUUUGAUUAUUAAUAUGAUUGACGACUUCCAUGUUAUCAGCUCCCCUAAGCAACCGCUUGACCUUAUAAAAACAACAUCCAUUGACAUGAUGACAAGUCUACUUGACAUACCUACAGUUCCUUCAAUACCAAGACCAGAGAAUAGCACUAAUAUCCACAGAACAGUGAGGAUUGAAAUUACAAAAAAUGAAACAAAAGACUGCCGAGGUGGGAUAUGCCAUGAGAAUACCAGUCGUUUCGAGACAUUGCCUUUUCGAGACACGUAUUUUCGGUUGUUUCGAGACACAUCGUAUGGACGGUUCGAGACAUGUCUAUGGUCACUUCGAGACAUAUAUAAAAAUAAUAUAUAAGUGUCAUAUAACAUAAAGUAAUGAAGGGCAAAAGGCUUUUUGGACAGUUUGAAGAGAAAAUCAUGACAUUUGAAGACUUUUUGACGACCUUCAUUAGCCGUCUUCGGCACGCCAUUUUGUUUUGAAAUCGACAACUUUACCGCGUUAUUUUCAAUCGUUACGGAGCUAUUGUAUUCAAAACAUUCAAAGUUAUACUAGAAAUCAGAACAUAGUUUAUAUCAACUUGAGUUUUCGAUCAAAAGAUUAAGGAAUUUUGUAACGCAAAGACAUUUUACACUCGAAUUUUACGAAGUCACGCCGUGUUUGUUGUCAUGUCUCGAAACAACUUUACAUAAAGAUUGU